UCAAUCGGCCAGUCAGUCGGUCGGUUGAACGGUCGGUUGAUCGGUCGAUUAGUCGGUUGGUCGAUCAGUCGGUCGGUCGGUCGGUCGGUCGAUC